GGAAUCUCUCGGGUAUUAGCCAUGUACUGAGCAUAGAAAGUUCCGAAAAGACUAUAGCGCCAGACAAAGAUCGAGCUAAUGAUGCUAAUGCCGGAAGGAGUGGCAAUUAUCAUCAGUCUUGCCUCCAGGAAGAUUUUGAGAUGCAACAAGGAGCUGCUGGAGCACAUCACCGUGAUCUCAGUGGAAGGUGCCAACUGCAAGCUCAUGAAGCGAGGGAACCAUCCCGAUGGCACCCUGCGUUGCCUUCUCGGGGUACGAUGUGGAGGCAGCGAAGAGCAUGAAUAUACACGUUGAUACAGUUUGGCUUUUCGAAGUGUAAGAUGCGGAGGAUGGCUUUACUGUGGUCAUGGCGGCCUACUGGCUUUUCGGCUU